rnacentral:rRNA from 1 species
UACGUAGGGCGCAAGCGUUGUCCGGAAUUAUUGGGCGUAAAGAGCUCGUAGGCGGUUUGUCGCGUCUGCUGUGAAAACCUAAGGCUCAACCUUGGGCUUGCAGUGGGUACGGGCAGACUAGAGUGCGGUAGGGGUGACUGGAAUUCCUGGUGUAGCGGUGAAAUGCGCAGAUAUCAGGAGGAACACCGGUGGCGAAGGCGGGUCUCUGGGCCGUAACUGACGCUGGAG